rnacentral:rRNA from 1 species
CCUACGGGAGGCAGCAGUGGGGGAUAUUGCACAAUGGGGGGAACCCUGAUGCAGCGACGCCGCGUGGGUGAAGGAGCGUUUCGGCGCGUAAAGCCCUAUCGGCAGGGAAGAAGGAGGACGGUACCUGACUAAGAAGCACCGGCUAACUACGUGCCAGCAGCCGCGGUAAUACGGAGGGGGCAAGCGUUAUCCGGAUUUACUGGGUGUAAGGGGGGCGCAGGCGGGAGGGCAAGCCAGAAGUGAAAGCCCGGGGCACAACCCCGGAACUGCACUUGGAAUUGGGCGGCUGGAGUGCAGGAGGGGCAGGCGGAAUUCCUGGUGUAGCGGUGAAAUGCGUAGAGAUCAGGAGGAACACCGGUGGCGAAGGCGGCCUGCUGGACUGCGACUGACGUUGAGGCGCGAAAGCGUGGGGAGCAAACAGGAUUAGAUACCCGUGUAGUC